GAUGAACGCUGGCGGCGUGCCUAAUACAUGCAAGUCGAGCGAACGGACGAGAAGCUUGCUUCUCUGAUGUUAGCGGCGGACGGGUGAGUAACACGUGGAUAACCUACCUAUAAGACUGGGAUAACUUCGGGAAACCGGAGCUAAUACCGGAUAAUCUUUUGAACCGCAUGGUUCAAAAGUGAAAGACGGUCUUGCUGUCACUUAUAGAUGGAUCCGCGCUGCAUUAGCUAGUUGGUAAGGUAACGGCUUACCAAGGCAACGAUGCAUAGCCGACGUGAGAGGGGGAUAGGCCACAUGGGAGCUGAGACGGGGUCCAGGCGCCUACGAGAGGCAGCAGAAGGGAACCUUCGGCAAUGGGCGAAAGCCUGGCGGAGCAACGCCGCGUGUGUGAUGAAGGUCUUCGGAUCGUAAAACUCUGUUAUUGGUGAAGAACAGAUGUGUAAGUAACUGUGCACAUCUUGACGGUACCUAAUCAGAAAGCCACGGCUAACUACGUG
rnacentral:rRNA from 1 species